ACGGCUCAGUAACACGUCGAUAAUCUGCCCUUUGGUAAGGGAUAAUCUUGGGAAACUGAGGAUAAUACCUUAUAGGAGAUAAAUUCUGGAAUGAGUUAUCUUUUAAAGAUUACGCCAAAGGAUGAGUCGGCGGCGGAUUAGGUUGUUGGUGAGGUAAUGGCUCACCAAGCCUACGAUCCGUACGGGCCGUGAGAGCGGUAGCCCCGGAGAAGGACACUGAGAUACUGGUCCUAGCCCUACGGGGUGCAGCAGGCGCGAAACCUUUACAAUGCACGAAAGUGUGAUAAGGGAAUCCUAAGUGCUUAUACUAAGUAUAGGCUUUUGUUAAGGGUAAAUACCUUGGCGAAUAAGCGGUGGGCAAGACUGGUGCCAGCAGCCGCGGUAACACCAGCGCCGCAAGUGGGGACCUCUUUUAUUGGGCCUAAAGCGUCCGUAGCUGGUUUGGUAAAUCUCUUGUGAAAUCGUUAAACUCAAUUUAACGGCAUGCAGGAGACACUGCCUAACUUGAGACUGGGAGAAGUAUAGAGUAUUCCGGGGGAACCGGUAAAAUGGGAUAAUCCUCGGAGGACUACCUGUGGCGAAGGCGCUAUACUAGAACGGAUCUGACAGUGAGGGACGAAGGCUAGGGGAGCAAACCUGGAUUAGAUACCCGAGUAGUCCUAGCAGUAAACGCUGCGAGCUAGGCGUUGCGUAUUCUACAGGAAUAUGCAGUGUCGUAACGAAGGUGUUAAGCUCGCCGCCUGGGGAGUAUGGUCGCAAGACUGAAACUUAAAGGAAUUGGCGGGGGAGCAC
rnacentral:rRNA from 1 species